GCAGGAAUAGCUCAGUUGGGAGAGUGUUAGGCUGAAGUUGUUUACGCAACAUUCAUCUAAAGGCCCCCCGGUUCAAUCCUGGGUUUCGGCG
rnacentral:tRNA from 1 species